UACACACACACACACACACAGGAGUGACAAAUUAAAGGAAAAACAACAUAAAUUGUCGUAAUGGGAUCCGAGCAGCUUCAGUGUGUUCCUUGUCAUUCUACAGGUCUCUGGAUUUGUACUGGAGGGAUGAACAUCAUUCUUCCAAAAGAUAUACCCCUACUAGUGUUUUGGUCAUGGUUGUGCAGAACACGAACACCACAGUCCAUAAUCCUCCAUAGGUGUUCAGUUGGGUUAUAUCUGGUGAAUGUGAAGACAAUAGCAUGUGAUUUACUGCAUUUUCAUAGUCAUUAAACUAUUCAGUGAGCCAUCCUGGAGGGGGGAAGGGUCAUCCUGGAAGAGACCACUCCCAUCAGGUUAGAAAAGUUUCCUCAUGGGACGAAGGUGAUCAGCCAGGAUUGUUUUGUAGUGUUUUUUAGGGACUCUUCCCUGUUCUCAACCCUGGUCAUGGAGUACCCGUUGUCCUGUGUUUUCCUGGUCUAAAACAACUGCUUAAAUCAACCUGAUUAACAGCCCUUUGUGAAUUGAAGAGGGUGUGUUAGAGCAGGGAAAACACUUGAAUGUGCAGGACGCCAUGACCGAGACUGGGAACCUGUGUUGUAAGGGGGACAAAUGGAGCCAAGCACUGCCAGCAAAAUGCCUCUGACAGCAACAGUUUUCCUGUUUUCAUCUGUUUGCAUGUGUAUAUAUGAAGUAUAAGAUGUUAGAUUUGACAUCUGCAUAACUCGGGCAGAUUUUGAAAGUUUUUAAAAUCAGACCUCUGUAGAAAACAAGGAAACAAUUUGGGUAUCAAUCAGUUUGGUGCAAGAGUAAAAUGGGGUUUGUGUCUGGGGAAAGCCUGGACAUUCUGCUAAAGGCAGAUACUGUAAUAUUUGCAACUGUAGUAAACAGUUAUGGAGUUGUAGACUAUAAGAUUAUUAUUGUUAACAUUAAUACUUCAUUAUUGUUCAACUGAAUCCUUUCUAGGCUGAUGUGGGAAAUGUGACAGCUGCAGUAGUGAAGUGGUGAGCAGUUUGUCUCCGUAAGCGCACUGUGGGUAAUAAUCUUCUCUCUUCAUUUUUGAUAUGACGGUCAGUGUUUAUUUGUAUUUAUUCACUUAUUUUUGUAACAGUACCAGUGGUGGUAUUGGAUUGUGAACUUCAGUCCAGAUCCAGUUCAUCUCUUAGUCCAUAAAGAAUCAUGAGCUACAAUUAUUACUUCCAAAUGAGACCACAUCAUGUGAUCCAAGAUCACAUCAACUAAAAUGUUCCAUGAUGGUGUCUUCAAACUUUGUGACUAAGUUGGUCAUACUCUGUGCCAUUCACAAAAACCUUCUUCCCUCAAAAGGCUGGUGACAUUGUGCUCUACUAACAGAUUCAGGUCCACUUUAGGAGGACUAAACAAAAAAAAGGUCAGUGGCAUAGCCAUGCGGUGUAGCUAUACCAGCCCAUUUCUCUGAGGUGCUGGACAGAAGCAGCCGCUGCUCCACCCCAGCUCUUUAUUGAGCAGCUCCUGCUGCUUUUUUCUGGCCUGCCAGUGCUGUGCGAGUGGCUCCAGGAAGAGAGAGACUGAUGAGAGCAGGUAACACACACCAGCCAAGUAAAAGGAGCAGUCGUAGGUUCGGGUGUAGUCAUACAGAAAACCUGGGGGAUACGAGUGAGGAGUCAAACAUGUGCUGCUGUUGAUACAGUUCAUGGAGGACAUCUUUGAGCAAGACUAUAUUUAGCAAGGUUCAAUUUACUGCUCAGUAAAAACUGCAAGAUUUUCCUCACACCAUAAAAAAGAUAUUUCAUUACAAAGAAUAACACUACAUUUAUUCACAUAAAAUAAAAUUAAAACAAAUUUGAAAAAGAAAAAUGCUUGCAUCUAAGAAUGUCUUUCUGUUAUGGUGAUUGUAAUUCUAUAUGAUGUACUGCCCAAACUGAGUCAGCACUCCCUAACUGAGGCUCAGGUGUACAUGGUUUGGGUUUGUGUGACUGUAGGGCGAAGGUCAAGGAGUACACUGCCUACAGGAUACAGGAUUGAGAGGCCCAGCAUGUAAGGCUGCAUACCGCCCUAAAAGACAGCCAAUCUCACUGAGGGAUUUAAAAAAAAUAAAAAAAUAAAUUAGAAAGCCACUAGUCUGUACUUCAUUAAAACACUAUGAUGUUCUCCAUGCAAUGGAUAAUGGUGUUAUCUAUACAAUCUUACUGUAAGGAAAACAUUUAGCUCAUCAGACCCGAGCAGUGUGAAAUGAAGGUAAUUAAUUCACAUUUGUAUUAUCCUUGCAAUACAAGAAAGGUAUUACUUUUCCAAUUUUUAUUUAUGGAUUUGUUAUUGUUGUUGUAAUUUGGGGGAAUAGAAAAUAAGGGAUUUGGUUUGAUUUCUGUUUGUGUUGAAUUGAACUGAUUUUAAUUUAUCUAAACCAAGCAAACACUUGAUAUGACAUUUUAUUCAGUUUCUUUUUAGAUGGCAGUUGCACAGAAACCUCUUGACAGCUAGCUAAUAUUUAAAUAGUAGCAGGUAGCUAGCUAAUAUAAUUUUUUUUUACAUUGGGCAGGUGCAGGAUGUGUGACUUUUUUUUUAGAAUUAUUUUUACACACAGUUUUUUGAAAGAAAUGCAGACAGCCAGCUAUGACUGUAUUUAAAACAACCUCUCUCUCUCUCAGGAAUGGUACACUGCCUUAUAACCAGCUGGUAAACGCUGCCUUUCUCUCUUACAUACACUGCCUUCUCCCAUUGAGAUCCUACACUUCCCCCACUUAGAAACAGUAAACAUACCCCCCACUGCAAAUAGGGCCUGCACAAGCCCCUCCUAAACAGGGGGCCGUUUAAGGGUGAGUGUGUACAAUUUCUAAGAAUUUUAUCUAUGACCAUCAAGGCAUAUCCCAGGCAUGUUUUAAGUGGACAUCGUGGCAGUACAACCAAACAAUUUUCUCAACUUACUUUAUAUUCACGAACCCUGAAUUAAAUAGAACUGUGG